rnacentral:rRNA from 1 species
GGAGGAAUAUUGGUCAAUGGGCGGAAGCCUGAACCAGCCAAGUAGCGUGCAGGAUGACGGCCCUACGGGUUGUAAACUGCUUUUAGGCGGGGGUAAAGGGGCGGACGUGUUCCGCCUUUGCAGGUACCGUCAUAAGAAGGACCGGCUAAUUCCGUGCCAGCAGCCGCGGUAAUACGGAAGGUCCGGGCGUUAUCCGGAUUUAUUGGGUUUAAAGGGAGCGUAGGUGGACUGUCAAGUCAGUUGUGAAAUCCGCGGGCUCAACCUGCGGCCUGCAGUUGAAACUGGCGGUCUUGAGUCCGUUCAGGGAUGCUGGAAUUCAUGGUGUAGCGGUGAAAUGCUCAGA